GUGCAUCAAGGCGUGAAUAAGGAAGAAGUCACCUUUGUCGGUUUUCAAAUUGAGGACCAACUGUGCCCCAAAAGUGAGAGAAGAGAUCUCAAAAGACGACACCCACAUCAAGAGAAACAGACGAAGCAGCUCAAGCGGAGCUAG
rnacentral:rRNA from 1 species